rnacentral:rRNA from 1 species
GACGAACGCUGGCGGCGUGCCUAACACAUGCAAGUCGAGCGAAGUGUUUACAAAGAUUUCUUCGGAAUGAUUUAUAAACCACUUAGCGGCGGAUGGGUGAGUAAUGCGUGAGGAACCUGCCUUCUACAAGGGGAUAGCCUCGGGAAACCGGGAUUAAUACCCUAUGACACUUUCAAUUCACAUGAAUUAAAAGUUAAAGCGAUUUAGCGGUAGAAGAUGGCCUCACGUCCCAUUAGCUAGUUGGUGAGGUAACGGCUCACCAAGGCUACGAUGGGUAGCCGGCCUGAGAGGGUGAACGGCCACAUUGGAACUGAGACACGGUCCAGACUCCUACGGGAGGCAGCAGUGGGGAAUAUUGCACAAUGGAGGAAACUCUGAUGCAGCGACGCCGCGUGAGCGAUGAAGGUCUUCGGAUCGUAAAGCUCUGUCCUAAGGGACGAUAAUGACGGUACCUUAGGAGGAAGCCCCGGCUAACUACGUG